ACAAGCCAAGGACAAAAAAAAGGGGCGGCUAAUACAGUAUAUCAGAGCUAAUCAAGCUUCUCAACUACUGUAGCAAAAAAACUAAGUAAUUUUUUCUAUCUUCACAUAUUUGUUUUCCUUCAGUUUCAGUCAAGUAGUUAAACUCAAUAAACUAAGGGUAGUGAUUUUCACGCUCCCCUUUUUAUAACAACUCUUUUUUGUUAUGUGUUUUCUUGUAAUGUGAAUUUACAAUGUUGUCCUUCCAAGUGUGAAAAAAUACACGAAUGAAAUGUUAAUUUUGUAAAUUCACAUAACAAGAAGACAAAAAAGGGGUGGUUAUAAAAAAGAAAGUGCGAAAAUCAAUUACAUAAACGAAAUUCCAACCAUGUACAACGAAACUAAAAGAGACCUUGUAAGAACAGUAAAAAUCUAACUUUGCAUCAACUAAGCAUUAUCAAUUGAAACCAGAGAAUAAACUAGAUUUCUGUUUUAUGGAUAACUGAGAAUCAACUAGAUUCAUAAAAUUGUAUCAAGCUCCCUUCGACAUCUCCAAUGCAUAUGAAUAUCGUCCAGAUACUUAAAAGUGCCAGAAAAUUUUAAUUUCAGAACAACCCAAAGGACACACACACAAGCAUGCGCGCUCGCGCGCGCACAGAGAGAGAGAGAGAGAGAGGAUUCCAAAAGCACCCAAGAAACCAUUUACAAUUGAAAGGAAAACCCAUAAAGAAUGGUAUCAUAAAUCCUUAAAAGAACUAAUAACUCACGUGAAAAAAAUUAGAGCAAAAAAGGAGUAAAUGAAUAGGCUGCUGAAGGAAAAUGAUUGGAUUCGGCAUUUAAUCAAAGCCCCAUUGGGCAUCUCACACAAGGACAUCAGGUAAGUACAGUAAAAGAAAGUGCAAGAAAGUUGUACUUCUAAAAAGUAAAAACUAUAUACCCCAAAAAGUUAAGAUAUGCAAAAAGAAGUGGAUUCCAACAGUUCCC